UCCUGGAUUCUUAUGUGGCAGUGGGC
rnacentral:piRNA from 1 species